AUUGAACGCUGGCGGCAUGCCUUACACAUGCAAGUCGAACGGCAGUACGGGGCAACCUGGUGGCGAGUGGCGAAAGGGUGAGUAAUGCAUAGGAACGUAACUUUCAGUGGGGGAUAACGUAGAGAAAGUUACGCUAAUAUCGCAUAUUCUGUGAGCAGGAAAGCAGGGGAUCGCAAGAAAUUGCGCUGAUUGUGCGGCCGAGGUCAGAUGAGCUAGUUGGUUAGGAAAAGGCUCACCAAGGCGACGAUCUGUAGCGGGUCUGAGAGGGUGAUCCGCCACACUGGAACUGAGACACGGUCCAGACUCCUACGGGAGGCAGCAGUGGGGAAUUUUGGACAAUGGGGGCAACCCUGAUCCAGCCAUGCCGCGUGAGUGAAGAAGGCCUUCGGGUUGUAAAGCUCUUUCGGCCGGGAAGAAAUCGCACGGGCUAAUACCCUGUGUGGAUGACGGUACCGGAAUAAGAAGCACCGGCUAACUACGUGCCAGCCGCCGCCGUAAAAC
rnacentral:rRNA from 1 species